GCCCGGGUAGCUCAGCCUGGAUAGAGCACCUGCCUUCUAAGCAGGGGGUCGCAGGUUCAAAUCCUGUCUCGGGCG
rnacentral:tRNA from 1 species